UUACAGGUGAGGAGCCUGUGAGAGACCUGAGAUCUUUUAUUCUGCUUUGUGAUCAGAUCCUAUUGCUUUCACAAAAAAACGUCGUUUAUUAGGGGUGGUGUAUGGCGCGUUUGAGGACGUGCGUGGAAAGAUUUUCCCAAGUUGCAGAGGAGACGUUGGUGUUUACGGAAAACUGAAAUAAGUGAACUUGCAAGACAAGACUGGAGGAAAAUCCCAGCAUUCCUGGGAGCUCAACUGAGGGGGCGAAGGGAAGGGGAAAAGGAAUGCCCCUCGGGAGUUUCCCGGGAUAGCGCGCGGCCCCACGGGCUUCCUACUGCCGGCUCACCAACGGGAAAUAUGCGCAGGGGAGACUCCCAAACGGACACAAAAAAGAUUCCUCAUCCCUGCUUCUCAUACCCCCUUUUUCGCACAUACACAGGAGCCCAUACUGUGAAAAUCCACCCCCUACACCACAGCUGAUUGCUGCGAUGGGUCUCUGGGGAUGUUCUCAGUCGGCCCUACCCUAGCAUCUUUAUAAACGCCUCCUGGUGGCUUUUAGCUGAGUAGGAGCGCCACGAUAUUCAGUACACAUUUAGAAGCGAGCGCUUCAGCAAUUUCCUUGUGGUAGAGAGGAAUGCAGCUCUGCUCCAAGUAGUUUAACCUAGAUUCGACGCCUGUUCAUGGACAGCGUGCUUAGUGCAAAUUGAAUGUAACAGUUUGCAGGUUGGGGUUGGUUUCCGGGAUUUCAGAUUUUUAAACGGACACACCGACACUCUGGAAGUGGUCUUCGAGGACCGCAUGCUCCCUCUUGUGGAUGACAACAGUUCCCAACGCCAAACAAACAAGAAAACCACAACCCAGUAACUCUCCCUGCAAAUACAGGCUUCUUUUUAUCAGGAUUCCUGCUGGAUUUCUUUGCAACGGAAUUUUUGCAACUGGCUGUCAUUAGGCAAAAUCUUUAAAUUCAGUGUUUUCUGGAAAGCUGGGUUGGGAGUGUUCCUCAAUCUUAGACUAGGUCUAUGAGAAACAAAUUCACCGUCCAAACCCAAAGAAUGGACUCAGAGACCCGGAGAACAGCAAAAGUGAGAGUUUAACGACGAUCUUGCAAGAUCGGUUGUCUGAUGAGCGGGCACACCCAGCACACUUUGAACAACCGAUUUAUCCCGUGGUGCGCAGGUCCCUCCCCGGGUUCCUCACAGGGGAGACUUCUGCUCCAGUCUUGGGUGAAGACUUGUUCAUAGAGUGAAUGUAGACUUGGGAUCAGUGAAGGAAAAAGAGUGAAAAGAAACUUGUGAAGAAGCAGAGCAGAAAGAUGUGCAACCAAAUGGAGACAGGCUACCCUGGAUUCCAGGUGGUCUCACACUUCUGAGGACUGACAUAGAUACUACUGCUAAGAAGAUACUAUGAUGUAUGGUGGACUGGAUUACAAGGAAUCACUCUAGUUUUAAGAGACAAGAUAACUGGCAGAAGUGGGAAAAAAAAAAAAAAAAGAGCCAAGAAGGUCCCACCGAGAUUUGAACUCGGAUCGCUGGAUUCAAAGUCCAGAGUGCUAACCAUUACACCAUGGGGCCACCUAUAAGCCUGCUUAUGAAGUUUUUCUUCUGACAAAUAUUUAUCCCUGAGUCACUAGCUCUUAACUGCUAAGUAUGAAAUAAUGGGUUUUUAAACAAAACUGUACUGCCCUCUACAGGAGUAUUUUGGAAAUGCCUGGGUGUUUUGCUUGUUUCAAUGACUGGGGCACAACUGGCUUUCACAGGUCAGAACCAGAGAUACUGGGAAUCUUGCAAUGCUCAGGACAAUACUGCAUAAAGAAUUAACCAUAGGAGUGCACAAUUUUUGCAAAACGACCUUGGAUCUUUCAUCUAGGUUUUCUGGGGCCUUUUCUAAUAGUAAAAUCCGUGCUUCCAUCCUUGUUUGUACUCUCCCACUGAAUCAUCCUCUCACAUACAAUUACAAUGCUGUGUAGGACCUUGUUAGGAUUUUGACUUUUAUUCUGAAAUGGGAAGUCACAGUUUCUGGUUGGAUGUCCUGAGAGACUCACCUUCAGAAUCUUGAGCUACUCUAUGACAAGUCUGACCACUCUGAAGCCACCAUACUGUUAAGUAGCUCAGGCCACACAUGUAGAUGCUCUGGCUGGUAGUCCCAUGCCACAGCCAGCAUCAUUUACCAGCUAUGCGAGUGAAGAGGCUUCCAAAUGAUCCCAGCCUUCAGCGGUUAUCCCAAGAAUCACCCUAAGCUGGUGAGUUUACACCUGAUGCUCUAGACAUCUUGGAGCAGAGGUAGCAAUCCCUGCUGUGCUCUGUCCUAUUUCCUGACCACAGAAUCCAUGAAUAUAAUAAUAUGCUUGUUUUAUGCCAUCAAGUUUGGGGCUAGCUUGUUAUGCAGUAAUAAUAACCAGAAAAACUCCAGAAACAGGAAUUGUAUCUAUCUACAGUGAAAAGAAAAUAAAUAUCAGGACCCCAAAUCACUAACAUAAAGGGAAAAGUCAAGCUGGGAACUGUGACAA
rnacentral:tRNA from 1 species